rnacentral:snRNA from 1 species
GUGCUCACUUCAGCAGCACAUAUACUAAAAUUGGAACAAUACAGAGAAGAUUAGCAUUGUCCUUGGCAAGGAAGACAUAUUUUUUCAUUGACUGCUAAAGUAGUUAC